rnacentral:rRNA from 1 species
AACGAACGCUGGCGGCAGGCCUAACACAUGCAAGUCGAACGCUCCACAAGGAGAGUGGCAGACGGGUGAGUAACGCGUGGGAAUCUUCCUAUCGGUACGGGAUAGCUCAGGGAAACUUGGGGUAAUACCGCAUACGCCCUUACGGGGAAAGAUUUAUCGCCGAUAGAUGAGCCCGCGUCUGAUUAGCUAGUUGGUGAGGUAACGGCUCACCAAGGCGACGAUCAGUAGCUGGUCUGAGAGGCUGACCAGCCACACGGGGACUGAGACACGGCCCAGACUCCUACGGGAGGCAGCAGUGGGGAAUAUUGGACAAUGGGCGCAAGCCUGAUCCAGCCAUGCCGCGUGAGUGACGAAGGUCUUCGGAUUGUAAAGCUCUUUUGGCGGGGACGAUAAUGACGGUACCCGCAGAAUAAGCCCCGGCUAACUUCGUGCCAGCCGCCGCAGUAAUAC